rnacentral:rRNA from 1 species
AGAGUUUGAUCCUGGCUCAGGAUGAACGCUAGCGGCAGGCUUAACACAUGCAAGUCGAGGGGCAGCACGGGUAGCAAUACCUGGUGGCGACCGGCGCAAGGGUGCGUAACGCGUGAGCAACAUGCCCUAUACAGGGGGAUAAUCCAGGGAAACUUGGUCUAAUAUCCCAUAGUAUUUAGAGGAGGCAUCUUCUAUAAAUUAAAGCUUCGGUGGUAUAGGAUUGGCUCGCGUGACAUUAGCUAGAUGGUGAGGUAACGGCUCACCAUGGCAAUGAUGUCUAGGGGUUCUGAGAGGAAGGCCCCCCACACUGGGACUGAGACACGGCCCAGACUCCUACGGGAGGCAGCAGUGAGGAAUAUUGGACAAUGGAUGGAAAUCUGAUCCAGCCAUGCCGCGUGCAGGAAGACAGCCCUAUGGGUUGUAAACUGCUUUUAUAUGGGAGCAAUAAGGUUUACGCGUAGACUGAUGAGAGUACCAUAUGAAUAAGCAUCGGCUAACUCCGUGCCAGCAGCCGCGGUAAUACGGAGGAUGCGAGCGUUAUCCGGAUUUAUUGGGUUUAAAGGGUGCGUAGGCGGCCGAGUAAGUCAGCGGUGAAAUUUUGCAGCUUAACUGUAACAGUGCCGUUGAUACUGCAUGGCUAGGAUUUGGUUGCUGUGGGUGGAAUGUGUGGUGUAGCGGUGAAAUGCUUAGAUAUCACACAGAAUAUCAAUUGCGAAGGCAGCUCACAAAGCCAAGAUUGACGCUGAGGCACGAAAGUGUGGGGAUCAAACAGGAUUAGAUACCCUGGUAGUCCACACU